rnacentral:rRNA from 1 species
AUUGAACGCUGGCGGCAUGCUUUACACAUGCAAGUCGAACGGUAACAGGGUGCUUGCACCGCUGACGAGUGGCGAACGGGUGAGUAAUGCGUCGGAACGUGCCGAGUAGUGGGGGAUAACGCAGCGAAAGUUGUGCUAAUACCGCAUACGUACUGAGGUAGAAAGUGGGGGACCUUCGGGCCUCACGCUAUUCGAGCGGCCGACGUCUGAUUAGCUAGUAGGUGAGGUAAAGGCUCACCUAGGCGACGAUCAGUAGCGGGUCUGAGAGGAUGAUCCGCCACGCUGGGACUGAGACACGGACCAGACUCCUACGGGAGGCAGCAGUGGGGAAUUUUGGACAAUGGGCGAAAGCCUGAUCCAGCCAUGCCGCGUGUCUGAAGAAGGCCUUCGGGUUGUAAAGGACUUUUGUCAGGGAGGAAAUCCCUAGUGCUAAUAACACUGGGGGAUGACAGUACCUGAAGAAUAAGCACCGGCUAACUACGUGCCAGCAGCCGCAGUAA